UUUACUCAAAGGCUUGGAGAUUGAAGGCAUGAAUGAAAUUAAAAGCAUAGGUAAUGAGUUUUAUGGGGAGAUUGUGAAUCCUUUUCAGUGUUUGGAGUAUCUGACAUUUGAGGACAUGCCAGAGUGGACAGAUUGGUUAAUUCCCAAAUUGGGUGGGGAAACUAAAGCAUUGUUUCCUUGCCUCCGUCGGCUUCUAAUAAAAAAAUGUCCAAAACUCAGCAACUUGCCUGAUUGCUUAGCUUGCCUUGUGAAACUUCAUGUUAUAGAAUGCCAAGAAUUGACAAUUUCAAUUCCACGAUUUCCAUUUCUUACUCAAUUGAAAGUAAAUAGAUGUAACGAGGGAACGUUGAAAAGUAGGGUUGUUGAUGUGCCCUCACUCACCCAAUUAUACAUUGAGGAAAUUUCAAAGCCGAGUUGUUUAUGGGAAGGGCUUGCACAACCCUUAACAACCCUUCAAGGUCAGGGAAUAAUUCAAUGUGAUGAGUUGGCAUGUUUGAGGGGAUUGGAAAGCCUUAGCAGUUUGCGAGAUUUAUGGAUCAUUAGUUGUGAUGGGGUAGUUUCCUUGGAAGAGCAGGGGCUGCCUUGUAAUCUUCAAUACUUAGAAGUGAAAGGAUGUUCCAACUUAGAGAAGCUGCCAAAUGCAUUGCACACCCUCACAUCUCUUACAGAUUUGCUAAUUCGGAAUUGCCCUAAACUGGUGUCAUUCCCAGAGACAGGUUUGCCGCCCAUGCUAAGAAAUCUUUGGUGAAAAUUGUGAGGGUCUGGAGACACUACCAGAUGGAAUGAUGAUCAAUAGUCGUGCCCUUGAGUACUUUGAAAUCACAUAUUGCUCAUCUCUUAUUGGCUUCCCAAGAGGUGAGCUACCCACCACCCUGAAGACGUUGACAAUUCACAAUUGUGAGAAACUAGAGUCUCUACCUGAUGGAAUUAUGCACCACACUUGUUGUCUUGAACGCCUGCAAGUACGGGGAUGUUCCUCUCUCAAGUCCAUUCCAAGGGGCGACUUUCCCUCCACGCUCGAGACACUUCGCAUUUGGGGUUGCAAUCAACUAGAGUCAAUUCCAGGGAAGAUGUUGCAAAAUCUCACCUCUCUUCGUAGCCUGGCUCUAUGUAACUGUCCAGACGUGAUGUCCUCCUCUUUGGAAGUGUUUUCUACCCCGAACCUCAAAAGAUUGGCCAUUGCAAAUGGCAAAAACAAUGUGAGGAGGCCUCUAUUUGCCCGGAGCCCCCACACACCCACGUCUCUUGAAAGGAUCCUUAUCAAAGGCCCAUUUCCAGAUGUGAUUUCUUUUACGGAUGAUUGGUCUCAGCUUCUUCCCACAUCUCUCAACUCUCUUUUCAUAUAUGAUUUCAAGAACUUGAAGUCCAUAGCCUCCAUUGGUCUCCAAACCCUCAUUUCUCUUAAAUUCCUUCAAUUCACGGACUGCCCUAAGCUCCGGUCCUUUGUGCCAAAGAAAGGGCUGCCGUCAACACUUGAAAGACUAGUAAUCAAAGGAUGUCCUAUUCUGAAAAAGAGGUGCCUCAAGGACAAAGGAAAAGAUUGGCCUAAGAUUGCCCACAUCCCUUACGUGGCAAUAGAUGACAUUGUACAACAAUAAAAACUUCAAUCAGGGGUUGCUCUCCUCAACAAUAAGCUAUGAAGUUGUAGAACUAACCCACAACUUCCACAUAGAGAUAGAUGUCUGAUACACCUAUUAAAGUAUGCAUCCUUUCUAUAAUGCAAGAGGCCUUAUAUCUGAUGCGUCAUUUUGCUUAAAGCCAGUAUACUUUUUCAAUCAACAUUGAUUAAUAGAAGGAAUGCUCCCUUGUUUAAUACCAAGUUUUCUUGGGAUUCUGCCAUCUGCUUGGAAAUAUGUAUUGCAAAAAAGCUGAAGGUAAAAUCCCCUAAUCAGGGCACAUGACAAAACCCCCCCAAAAUCCGAGAAGUCCAAGAAAGUAAGUGGACUAAGACCAUUGCAACCUAUCCAGUGGGCAUGCUCUGCCCAUGAGAUACUCCAGAAGGUGAAGCUUACGGCUUGGUAAAAAUCUUGGCCCUGAUGACUCAUGUUACAAGUGAUGAAGAAGAGAGUUUGCUAAUAUCUCUGCAUUUUCCUAAGCUCCGGUCCUUUGUGCCAAAGGAAGGGCUGCCACCAAGACUUGCAUGCAUGCCUUGUAAUGGGGAGAUAUCCUAUUCUAAAAAAGAGGUGCCUCAAGGACGAAGGAAAAGAUUCACCCAAGAUUGCUCACAUCCUCAGUAUGGAAAUUGAUGAUGUUGUAAAACAAUAACAAGUUCAACCAGUUUUUUCUUGUUGUUCUGUACAUUAGGUCCACUUGUUUCUCUUGAUUUUAUUAUUUCUGAAAGAAGCUCAAAGGUUACAUAGAAAGAGCAUGAGGGGCUUGUGCUCAGCUACUGUGAGACUCUGAAAACACCAUGAAAUGAUGCAUGGCAACAGCUAUGGUUUGUAUGAGUUUGGAUCCCUAAGAAUUUGUUUGAUGGGAAGCAGAUGAAGGGCUGCUACAAAUACUAGCAACACUGGAAAUCAAGAGAUGACCUAUGCUAAAACUGAGGUGUAGGAAAAAACAAAGGAAAAAAAUGGCCUGGAAUUGCUCAGUUCCCCCAUCUGUGGUGAUAGAUGGCAUUGUACAACAGUAAAAAUUUCAAUCAGGAAUAUUCACUUUCAUAUUGGAGAUCCCAUGUCUGAAGUAAAUAUGGUGUUAGCUCUUCAUGUCAUAUUGACAAGCAGAUGAACGAGUACUUGGCAAAAGCAUGGUAACUACUAAUUGACUCCACUUUUGAGAAACCACAUUGCUAUACAUGGGUUUUCUUUACAUGAACAAUUGGAUUCAUCUUUUAAAGUACUAUUUGGAACUGGGAAUCCUUCUUGGGAGCCAUAAAAGGUCUUGCAUUCUUGGCACAAAUGUGAAAUUUCAAUCUACAAUGAGGGUAUGGGAUUUCCUAGAAUUGACUGAUACAUGCAUCAAUGGUUGCUGAUGGUAUCCAUCAAGAUUCAAAUACAUGGAAAUUGCUUUGUCUUGUGGUUCAAUUGUGAAGAUAUUGGUAUGGUUUCCAAUCCUAACCAUGAGACCGGGAGUUGAUUCUUGGUGGGCUUAAGAGUUUUUCCCUUCUCUUCCCUUGUGGAUUAUUCUCAAUACAAGUGGUUCUAUACAAGAAGAGCAUUAAAUUGAAGGUUCUUCUUAGGUGCAAAAAGUGUAAGAUUGCACCUUAUAACCAUAAUUUUGAAAUAGGUUAGCUCUCUGAUUAUAUUUUAACGGUAUGUGAAACUUGACCUUUUCAAAGCUUACAUGAACUUUC